GGGGGUGACAGGUUUCGACGAUCAGACGUCUGAUCCCGGAGAAGCGUGCCGAGGAUGUCGGCUUAUCUCGUAAACGAUGCCGGUAACCAAAUAACUGCCAAAAAGACGCAGUCUGAGUUCGCUCUCGCCGCCUAGGCGAGUAGCACUCCGUCAGCCCGGGGAGUCUCCGACCCGGAUCCUGACGUCAGCUAGGAGACUUACCGAACGCUCCGGUCACGGGGGCGUAAGGAACAUCUAACAGUGACUGGGCCGCUCCGCGAAGUGCCGUACAAAGCGCGGAGGCCGAGAAGCGAUAGCACGGCUACGCACGUAGAAGUCCGGAUUAGAUCUGAGCGGACCCGGGUUCGAUUCCCGGCACCUCCACAA
rnacentral:tmRNA from 1 species